GAUGAAGAACGCAGCGAAAUGCGAUAAGUAAUGUGAAUUGCAGAAUUCAGUGAAUCAUCGAAUCUUUGAACGCACAUUGCGCCCGCCAGUAUUCUGGCGGGCAUGCCUGUUCGAGCGUCAUUACAACCCUCAGGCCCCCGGGCCUGGCGUUGGGGAUCGGCGGAAGCCCCCUGCGGGCACAACGCCGUCCCCCAAAUACAGUGGCGGUCCCGCCGCAGCUUCCAUUGCGUAGUAGCUAACACCUCGCAACUGGAGAGCGGUGCGGCCACGCCGUAAAACACCCAACUUCUGAAUGUUGACCUCGAAUCAGGUAGGAAUACCCGCUGAACUUAAGCAUAUCAAUAAGCGGAGGA
rnacentral:misc_RNA from 1 species